rnacentral:rRNA from 1 species
GAUGAACGCUGGCGGCGUGCCUAAUACAUGCCAGUCGAGCGAACGGACGAGAAGCUUGCUUUUCUGAUGUUAGCGGCGGACGGGUGAGUAACACGUGGAUAACCUACCUAUAAGACUGGGAUAACUUCGGGAAACCGGAGCUAAUACCGGAUAAUAUUUUGAACCGCAUGGUUCAAAAGUGAAAGACGGUCUUGCUGUCACUUAUAGAUGGAUCCGCGCUGCAUUAGCUAGUUGGUAAGGUAACGGCUUACCAAGGCAACGAUGCAUAGCCGACCUGAGAGGGUGAUCGGCCACACUGGAACGGAGACACGGUCCAGACUACUACGGGAGGCAGCAGUAGGGAAUCUUCCGCAAUGGGCGAAAGCCUGACGGAGCAACGCCGCGUGAGUGAUGAAGGUCUUCGGAUCGUAAAACUCUGUUAUUAGGGAAGAACAUAUGUGUAAGUAACUGUGCACAUCUUGACGGUACCUAAUCAGAAAGCCACGGCUAACUACGUG